CACUCUUCAACCUUCAAUCGCCAAAAGCUGCCUUCGCAAUAUCCGGCAGGAAACGUCUCAACCUAACGCACAUCGAACCCAGGAAUCCGGUUCGAGAUGCAGAUUUGGCCAAUUCACAUCGAGAUAUACAGCCACUGACCGCACGUACCAAGCCGACGCGCCCUCCCAGCUCCAAAGGUCUUUCGCCUCGAGCAGCCCUUCUCGCACCGCGCCUCCCCCACAGUUCUCCGAUUCCGGUUUUCCGCAAGGAAUGUCGCCCCGACCGCUCCCCGGGACUGGAAACCCCGCAGUACGUCGCAGCUUCGAUCCCGUAUCGGGUGCCUCUCAAGCUUGCCGCGUUCGGAUCUACUGUGGCCGAUUCCUUGCCCUUUUCACCUCGGCAAGCCAGUCCCGCGGGAGCGAAUCGGUCUCGGAACUUAACCCUAAGCAGAUCUUUGGUCCGUCAAGUCUUGCGCUGCUGAUAGUCAUCCGGCCCUCACCUUCUAUGCCCGCGCCGUCCGACGAGCUGCAGCUGCGGGCCGCUGAAAAGUGGUGCAGUCUCCGCUCUGGCGACGGCAGGGGCUGACCGGCGAGGUCCGAGCUCCAGUCACCCGCCAGGGUGGGCGACCGUCUCUUCCCAUGAGUCCACACGGUAAGCGCCUCUGGCCUGAGGCCGCUCGUCGGGAACGGGACACUGGAACUAGUACUCUGGUCACGAUGGAUUGUCCGUGGCGGUGUUGGCCAGACGGUCGAGGCAAGGCGGGCGCAUUCGAGCAGCUCGGUCUGCUCGCAUGCUCUUUUGUGGUUGUCUCCCGUCGGAGCAGCCUUCGGGAGGAGAGGAAGAGCGCAGUCUCGGCUACACACGAUCAACCAAGGCGUUUCACUCCUCCACCAGCAGCUCGCCUCGCAGGAAUCACCCCUUCUGGGAGUGAGCGAGGGCUGUCAGGUUACACACGGAAACGCCGACGGAUGAUACUACCCCUUCUCGCCGUGCUGUUACGCUCUCGGUACCUCGACUUCCACCUUUUUCACCCUGCAUGCGCACCUAGUCCUCCUGACGACCCAGCCGACCCUCGCGGACCGCGCCGGGGCAAAUACAUCGCCCGACGCGUCAUGGAACCCAACACCAUGAGAUCCCGACCAGGCGCAUUAACCCGUCCUCGUAGGCUCCGUCCUACGUUACGACGGGACGCCAAAGCCCCUGCCCGUGUCUCUAGCACGGCCCUUUCCUCCGCCGGGGGCCUGAAACAUGGUCGAUCGGCACGGAGAUGAUAGCGCGGUUUUUUGAGGAUGUAUUUUGUCCGUGCGGUUACCUGCCCUCCUUUUUUUCCUGCCCAUCCUUCGGGGUGGUGCCGGCGAUGGGAGAGGAAACAAAAACUAGUCCCCGUUGGCAGUGCGACAACACACGGAGAGACCUGGCUUGGGUUGGGCUGUCGACUCUUGGUAUGUUGCGGCUUUGGUUGCCGAUUUUGGCCGGAUCUGCCUCGACGACGACCGGAUUCGGCUGCGGGCUUGGUGCUGUGGCAGGUUUUGACUCGUUGUGGGGGCCGGGUUUGAAGGUUGGGUCGACCGGCUGAAAACCAAUGCGUCGAACUGGGUGCUCCGGAUGAAGGGGCCUGCACGGGGACGGGCCGAGUCGCCGGGACCCAUCUCGAGUUGGAGUCAAAGCUUCGUGCUUGUCUGGUGCCUGGAGCUCGUCCCCUGCAGCUGUCCGGAUUCUGGGUUCCUUCAGGGAGGGCUUUGUGUUUGCGGUUCGACCGUUUGGAAAAGGACGGGCCCGUUGGUGGGUGGUCCUGGUUGUCCUCUCUCCAGAAAUGGCGGGAGGGCAACCCCUCUUUUUGGAGG
rnacentral:telomerase_RNA from 1 species